rnacentral:rRNA from 1 species
UACGUAGGGUGCGAGCGUUGUCCGGAAUUACUGGGCGUAAAGAGCUCGUAGGUGGUUUGUCGCGUUGUUCGUGAAAACUCACAGCUUAACUGUGGGCGUGCGGGCGAUACGGGCAGACUGGAGUACUGCAGGGGAGACUGGAAUUCCUGGUGUAGCGGUGGAAUGCGCAGAUAUCAGGAGGAACACCGGUGGCAAAGGCGGGUCUCUGGGCAGUAACUGACGCUGAGGAGCGAAAGCAUGGGGAGCGAACAGG